rnacentral:rRNA from 1 species
AGCGAACGCUGGCGGCAGGCCUAACACAUGCAAGUCGAACGAAGUCUUCGGACUUAGUGGCGGACGGGUGAGUAACACGUGGGGACGUGCCUUUAGGUUCGGAAUAACUCAGGGAAACUUGUGCUAAUACCGAAUGUGCCCUUCGGGGGAAAGAUUUAUCGCCUUUAGAGCGGCCCGCGUCUGAUUAGCUAGUUGGUGAGGUAAAGGCUCACCAAGGCGACGAUCAGUAGCCGGUCUGAGAGGAUGAUCAGCCACAUUGGGACUGAGACACGGCCCAAACUCCUACGGGAGGCAGCAGUGGGGAAUCUUGCGCAAUGGGCGAAAGCCUGACGCAGCCAUGCCGCGUGAAUGAUGAAGGUCUUAGGAUUGUAAAAUUCUUUCACCGGGGACGAUAAUGACGGUACCCGGAGAAGAAGCCCCGGCUAACUACGUGCCAGCCGCCGCAGUAA